rnacentral:rRNA from 1 species
CUACGGGACGCUCCAGUGAGGAAUAUUGCACAAUGGGGGGAACCCUGAUGCAGCAACGCCGCGUGGAGGAUGACGCAUUUCGGUGUGUAAACUCCUUUUAUAUGUCAAGAAAAUGACGGUAGCAUAUGAAUAAGCGCCGGCUAACUCCGUGCCAGCAGCCGCGGUAAUACGGAGGGCGCAAGCGUUACUCGGAAUCACUGGGCGUAAAGGACGCGUAGGCGGGAUUGUAAGUCAGGUGUGAAAGCCUAUGGCUCAACCAUAGAAUUGCACUUGAAACUACAAACCUAGAGUAUGGGAGGGGCGGAUGGAAUUAGUGGUGUAGGGGUAAAAUCCGUAGAUAUCACUAGGAAUACCGAAAGCGAAGGCGAUCUCCUGGAACAUUACUGACGCUAAGGCGUGAAAGCGUGGGGAGCAAACGGGAUUAGAUACCCCUGUAGUC